ensembl:snRNA U2 U2 spliceosomal RNA
UUUGCUUCUCCGCCUUUUGGCUAUAGUAUCUGUUCUUAUCAGUUUAAUAUCUGAUACGUCCUCUAUAUACUACAUAUUAAAUUGAUUUUUAGAACAGGGAGAGGGAAGAGGGGCUCCACGCAUCAACCUGGUAUCGCAGUACCUCAGGGAAUGGUGCAUCUCAG